UCACAAGUUUUCUGUCUGCCGACCACUUUCCCUUAUCAGUUUUCCAGCCAGCUUUGUGACUGUAAAUGUUGGACGGAGAACUGAUAAGGGUAAGUGACUGGCGCUCACUGCCUUCAGAAGC
rnacentral:pre_miRNA from 14 species